GUUUGGACGGAGUUCGGCGGCAGCAAGAGAACCUAGAAACUGCUAUCAAGCCCCAGUCCACCGCGCCCUCAGUCAGACUAUUUUUGACGGCCGUGUCGCGUUGUCAAUCUCGGAAAAAGAUCCACCAUAACUUCCCUUCGACCCCAGCGGAUUUUAGGCCUAUUUGCAAGCUUCGUUUCGCAUCAGUCUAGUCGCCGGUAUCCUCUCGCGCUUUCCAAGCCUUCAAGUACAAGAUCCCACAGGGUGAGACAACAGCCAGACGGCGGUUUUAGUCGUAUAUGCCAACGACGACCUUGCUUUGUCGUUGGUGGGUUACGACCUGGCUUAUUUUUUUGCGACCAUCGUAGCGAUGAGCAGUUCGUCACCAAAGGGUCGUCAUGUGUGAGCUUGACUGACCUGUUGCUAUUAGUGUGGGUGUUACUUUAAGGAAAGACAUUUUUUUUAUGUAGCACGCCUGGGUACGGCGGCGUACUGACAGGAAGGGUACGGCUCCCUUAAUACAAGGUGCAUCAUGCGGCGUGCGUUCCUAUGUACAGUUAGGCACGGCCUGUCAUUUACUUUAUCUUAUGAUUUAAAUUGAUCACACCGUGAGAUCCGCUAAACUAAUUUCUUCAGGGGAAACGCUUCCCUUGGGCCUUUUUACGUGAAAUGUUCGAAAACAACAAAAAAGAGUCUUUGUCCAUGUUGCCUUAAAGAUGGAUGUGCUUGCAGCUGGUGGAUGUUGUGCAACAGAAACGCAUAAGAUGGAAGGGUCGUUGAAUAGUGUAGUUUAGCAGUAAAAUUAUCCUGAAAGAACGCUGAAGAAUCCUCCGCUAAUAUGAAGACACUGAGGCCAAACAGAGUGCACAAGCCUAGGGUCCGCAGGUGACGGACCAUGCUCUUGGGCAACUCCAGCGGCAACCUGGUGGGCGCCUCGGCUGUGACCAAGAUGUCGACCUCCCUCGAGACAGCAAUACCCUCCUUGCAGCAGCCCUCUUCGCAGCCGCCGCCGCAAGACGCCGCCAACAUGAGCACCAGCGGCGGCGUCGGCGGCAUCACCACCACCCAGGCCGCCGAGGUCGCUCGUACCCUCCUGGCCAACUUCACCCUGGGGACGCUCUACAACGACUCCGGAGGGGGAGGAGGAGGCGGGGGCGUGGGCGUGCUAGAGGGGCGUCAGGAGUACCCCUGGGCGGAGGGGUACAACGACUCCAUCCUGCUGCUGGGAGGGGCGGAUAGCAGCAACUCCAGCACUAGCGGCAUGAGCGGCGGCGUAAGCAUGAGUGGCGUGGGCGGGGCCGUCGAGUCCUUGGCCAACCUUUCUGUGAUUCUGGACGGAGCAGCGAACGACACCGGCGCCGUCGCCGAGAAGAGGGUCUAUUGCACGGAGUGGCCCGGGGCCACCUUGACUCUCUUCCAGGUGGCCAACCUUUUCUGCCUUUUGGCCUUCGUUGUGCCUCACAACUUCCGCCUUUCGGCCCUGGUGAUGCGCAUCAUCCUGUGCGUGGGCAUCCUGCUCUUCACCCUAUGGGCGGGGCUGGACAUUUGCGCUCCCGACAUCUUCGCGUGGAACCUCAGCUUCCUGGUGGUCAAUGCUGGCCACGUCCUCCAUCUGACCUACACCAUCUGGCCGCCCAGGGUGCCCGAGGACUUGGCUGACCUCUACGCCAAAGUGUUUAAGCCUCUCAAGGUGAACCACCAGAAUUUCUGCCAUCUCGUCAGGGAAGCGACGCUCCUGUGGCUGGAGCCAGGUGAAACCUACGCUGUCGAAGACGUCACACCUGCCGACGAACGCCUUUCUAUUCUCAUCUCUGGGAAAUUAAGAGUUACCUGUGACUCGACGCACCUCCAUUACAUAUUACCAACGCAAUUCAUCGACUCGCCGGAGUGGGAGGCCUGCGCUGAUGACUCCGACCAGGUGUUCCAGGUCACCAUAGUUGCCGAGGAGAGAAGCGAGUACUUGUGCUGGUCAAGACCUCGACUUCGACACAUACUCCACCUCCGUCCUUUCCUUCGGGCAGUCAUCCACAACCUUAUAGGUAAGGACAUCACCACAAAACUAUACUCCCUAAACGAGCAACUGGGCGUGAGUGGCUUAACGAGCGAGGGCGUGAGGGGCCUCGGUGCCCAAGACGUCUGGCGAGGGGUAGUACAGCGCUCCAUGAGCGUCGACAACGUCCACACGGGCACCAAAGGAUUCGUGCGGUCCUUAGCCUGGAGAGCGUCCCACAGGAGGACUUCUACCACGUACUGCGAGAGCGUCAGGUCAUCACCCGUCAGGUCCCGUGGGUCGCAUGCAUCUGACCCCGCCCUUAAAGCGACCUCUCCGGGGGCCUGGGGAAGUAUUCGCCAGCAUGCUCAAGGAAGCCAGCAACACCUUCUGGCUCCCCCUUCGCCACAGGGUUUAGAGCCGCCUUUAGCAUCAGGGACAGCAUCUUCACCACCACCAGUUUUACACACAGGCAGUUUGGCAGGUCGCAGCACAGGUAGCAGCAGCAAGCGCACCCACCGGGAGAACGUGGUGAGGUGUGUGGUAACAUCAAAUGCCUCUUGCACACGCCUUUCUGUGGAAGCGCUCGACGAUCCAUCUCUGCUGGAGACAUACGUCUGAAACCUUCCCUGCCUGCCUGUCUGCCUGCCUGCUUCAUACCUGCUGUGUCUGCCUGCCUGCCUGCCUGCUCAACAGCUGCUGCUAGACUCAGUAGAGCAAGAAGCAGUAAAGCAGAUGUCUGGUAGAAGAUGGUAGUCCAUGGUAGCCCUUCGGUAGUGUCUGGCUGGUGCAUGUAGCAGGUGAUGGCGAUAAUGGUGACGGUGAAAUAUUAUAAGUAUCAGUAGGAUGUCCAGGAUCCGUGAUCUCUGUUCAGCCCCAUCCUGCCUGCCUGCCUGCCUGCCUUUCUCCUUCCAGCCUCAGGAGCACCAUCCUUCAAGCCUGCAACAGAGUAGAGAGAUUCUUGGGUCUCCCGAAUACGUAAGGUUUUAAAAACCGUUGCUUUGCUCAUCGAAUAACACCUUGUAAUGUCCACUGCGGUGCCCGGGACCUGUGAAGUUUCUCUGAGGUGGCUUUUGGAGUCAGUGCAAAAGAAACCUCAGGGAGCGCUCUCUCGCAUUCAUUUAGACCAACUGAAGACCUGUGAAAUCCCUCUGCAAGCUGCUACAAGGGGCCCCACUGUAUGUUUACCUGCAAUCAAGUGGAUCCGAAUUAUGUGGUAAUAUGUAGACCUAUGAAGAGACUUCAGUGAAGCUUUAAAUGAUUAUAUACUGGGCUUUAUUCUCUUGUGAUGACCUAAUGAUAUCCUGCAACAGAAUAUCAGGACCUUGAGUACAGUUAUUACACUCUGUGACUGACUGUGUUGAGAAAUGUAUAGGUUAUUUUCAAAGUAUAUAGUGAUAUGGAAUUAUUUCCAAACUUGUUCAAACAAGAAGCAUCUUCUAGUGUUUCAUCUUCUGGUAUAUGGCUAAAUAUUGCUAUCACAGCACUAUAAUGAUUAAUGCACAGAGACCACUGUUAUUAUAAACUGACUUGGAAUUUAUGGAUGGUAUGGGGUGGUUUUGGGUUGACAGUCUUAAAUGGCAAUUGAAGAAAGAGUCGACUUUCGGUAUGUUGAAAACAAGAAACAACCAUCCUUUAGUAUUGCUCUCAACAUUUGCUACUGAUACUUGACUGGGCAGAGUGUAAUCUGUGUUUUACUAGUGUUCUGUGUUCAGUGUGAUGUUGUGUCUUCUCUGGUGAUAUUAGGAUCAUAGAAGGGGAAAGCUAAUUUCAGAAAGAGACGUCUAGUGUGACUUUGUACGGGGAAUGUAGUGGCAGAUGUUUGAAAAUCGCUGAAACAGGAGUACAGUCAUAGCUUUGGCUAAGUAGGUAAGAAAUGGAUACUUAAAAAACUUCAUUUUAUACGCAAAGUUUUCACCUAACUUAGGAUAAAAUGGAAGACAAUUUAAAGUGAUACAUUAUUAUGUAUACUGGCCUUGCUCAGUUUAUUUAGGGUAAUGCAGAUAAGAAAGCUUGAUUAGUUUUUCUAAUGACCUAUAAUCAAUUGCUGUCCUAAAUGAAACAUACUCCCAUGUAUAUUAGUAAGAUACAGGUUAUAUGAAUUAAUUGCAAUUGCCUUGUAAGAAGUAACUGAUCAUAAAGCAUACUGUACAUUACACCCUUAUAUUCACCUUUAUUUUGUUAGGUAUUCUAGCACUAUAUCCAGGUGAUGCAAUAAUGUGAUCUCAUUUUACAUCCACGUGACAUACAUGGACAAGUACACCCAAGUGUCAGAUAUCUAAACUUUGAAACACAGCACUGUCAGAGAAAAUGUAUUCGGAAACAUUUUAAGGGAUUCUGUUUGAAUGGGUGCAUUCAUGUUGGGAGGAUGCAGUUACAUUUGGUUUCGUUUGCUCAUAGGAGGAACCAUCAUUUUUCCUUAUGGGAUAAUAGGAUGCAUUUCUGUAUUUCUUCCUCACAUUUUGCUAAAAGUUAAUUGUAUAUUUCUUCAUCUUUGCAAAAUGUUCAGAUAUAAUCUAGUCAUUUUUAAAGGUUUGGUUUCCAUAAUAUGUGAUCUUUUCUGGUGAAUUCCUGAAAAUAUGACUUCUGCUCACACAUCAUUUUGUUCUUCUACAUCAAGCAUAUAUAUUGAUUAUUGGAAAUCUCAGACAGAAUCCUUGUGUUAACGUAGGAGUUGAAAUCACAUAGUCAUCGUCUUAGCAAAACUUUUGUCGUGAGGGGAGACUUAAAAAAUAUGGAGGUCAUAAUGUAGGGAGAUGAGUAUAGAAAUAAAAAGGAAUUGUGACCAGAUCAGUAGAAUUCUUGAUAUAGAGUGUUAAAAAAAGAUAUUUGAAAAUAGGUUCUCCAAGAGGACAAAGUUAUGUUUUUAAGUAUACAGACAAGUUAGACAACUUUAGUUGUAAUUGGUACAGUGUGGCUGAUCAACAAAAACGUAUAAGUGACAUUAUUAAAAAUAUUUUUUUCUAGUUCCAAAUUCUUUAUGACAGUAUUUGUAUAACACAUAUAUGAUCAUUUUUACAAAUCGCCAUGACAUCCAGAUCAAAAAGAAAUCUUAAUAGAUUGCUUGAGAGAAGACUGAGGCCGAAAAGUAAAGGGAUAUUUUCGUAGGAAAAAUCUAUUUCUGGGCGAGGAAGCCGUGUCGCCCAGUGAAAUACGUUCCUUUAGCACUAUUUCUAAGGUAAAUUAUUGCUAAAAUACCAGAGAACUUAUAAAGAAAAGUGUUUUAAUGAAAAAUACAGUAGGUCAUUUGCCUUAUUCUUGUUGAGACAGCUAACACAUUUGUACAAUAACGGGAGCUAAGUAUUCCCUGUCAGGACUUAACAUCUAGGGGACAUGGGAAUAAAACUUGAGGAUAGACACUUGGGUUGUAUUUUCAUUUAAAUGUGUGUCACAAGUAUGUUGUAUGUCAGAACACAAAACACACAUGGUAAUGAAUUGAUAUAUUUUAUCAAAAUGUUUUAUGUUUAUACAUCCACUUGGAAUAAAAGAUUAAAUGAAUAUCCAACUUGAUAUACAGUUUUGAAUGUUAAAAGAGAAACUGUUUUAUUUCAUCGCUUGCUUUAUAUUUCCAUUUACAAUAAGUGGAAGAUUUUUUUUUCCAAAUGCUUGAUCAUUCAUCCUUGAGUAAACGUGGUUUUUGCUUUUGCUAUUUUUAUUUUUGUGGAUUUUGUCCUGUAGCUUCUAAAGAUUAUUUAUGACUUUAUAUAUGAAUUAUGUAUUUUUGUUAUGAUCUUCAAUAAAUUCAUUAAUGUAUGGCAUUGUUAACUAUUAUUUUUUUCAAGCUACAACUGAAUAGUACAGCAUUUCCUUGAACCUACGGUGGUUUAAUGGCAUUGGUGCCAAAAACAACAUUUGUCCUUGUGUCUUUAACAAGUCAAUGAUUAUUAUUGCCUUACAUAGUAGUGUCUGAGGCAGAUCCACAAAUAACCUUAAAUUUUAAAGUAUAGUUGUGGCAUCAUUACCAGAACAUGUAGACUAGUUGAGGACUUGGUGAAUUGUGUCUUACUUGAUAUUCCUGCUUUUCACCAUCAUUUCCUGUCUUCAUAAUAUAUACUUUCUUGUCUGCAGCAUAUUUUUAAGAUGUACUACUAUGUUCAUAACCCCAAAAUAAGUCUCAUUCUUUUUUCUCUGUCUUCCUAUGAUUCUAAUUUAUAUAAUUUUCAUCAGUUGUGGAUUACUUUAUUUUUAGUCAGUUUAUUUGUAUAACUCCCUAACAACUGUUGACAUUAUAUUGAAGUUGAAGGAAUUGUUCAUUUGAUGUGGCCCCUCAGAGUACAGAACUGUUAUUUGUUGUGUCACUGUGAAAGUGAACAGCAUCACCAAAUUAUAGGAGACUGUACCUUAUUGCAUGCUUUGUUUCUAACUGUUUUUUGUACCAUAUAUACUUAUACUUUUUGUGCUUUUUAUGAUUUAGUUUGAUAUUUUGGAAAUGUAGAGGGUGCAUGAUCUUGAAAUUGAUGUUCAUAAAGUCAGUUUUAUUUACUUUCUUGUAUUCUUAAAGAUAGACUUUUCUUUCUACAGAGUUUAUAUAAAUUUUUUUUUUUUACUUUUUGGAAUUUGCAAGAUGUGUAAUUAUAAACCUGAAGUUUUCAAAGUCAAAUACAGUAUGUAUACCUGAUUUCUUUUCUUGCUAAAGAUUUUGUAAGCAAAUUGCUUUAUUAUUAUGGUAUACCCUUUUCGUAGAAGGAAGAGUGUUUCUAAAAGAGUUGGUUAGUUGUGUCCUCUCAAAGAACUAUCUCUGCUCUCACAGUAAGAUGCAAUAAGACAUUUUCCAUAGACAUUAAAAAAUAUAUGUAAUACGCCACUUGUCAUGCUGCAAGAGUAAAUAAAAUCCCAUGGUAUUUUGGAAAUAUAUUAAAAUUGUUAAAAUUCAUUAUGGUUUCAAAACCAACUGGUCUCCUCAUUCAGUAAAUAGAGAAUGAUAAAAUAAAAAAAGGAAAGAUACAAAUGCUUAGAGAGAAAAAAAAAGAAAAAAUAAAUAGCCACCUCGGCUAUAUAUGUUUUUCAUUUUUUGUCUGUUAACGUUUGGAUCUUUCCUUUUUUAAUUCAUCAUUCUUUAAUCACCGGAUGAGGAGACCAGUUGGUCUUGAAACUCUAGUGAAUUUCAAAGUUUUUAAUAUAUUUCCAAAAUACAACAGGAUUUUAUUUAUUCGUAGACAUUGGUUUCUCAAGGUAAAUGAAUGUAAUUUUAUUACAAGAUAAAAGAACAGUUUUAUGUUUUAUUUAUUAGGUAAUAGUGGGACAUUUUGGGAAACACAGUUUUAGGGUUCUAUUUUGGUAUGCUUUAUGAAAUAUCUUGAAUAGGUCCAUAACAUUUAGGCCAGAUCAUUUAGGUCAAACGAUCAUCUUCACUAGAAAAUUUCUGAGGAUAUAUUUUUUUUACCUAAUUCCUGUAUUCAGAACUUGCAAGCUACAAUUCUAAACAUUUCAGCUGCUAGUUUAUGGGCUGUUUGUACGUACUGGAUAUUGGUUUUGGACUACAAAAGAAGGUUUCCUUUCCCGAGAAAGUGAUAUCGAUGUUGUUUUUAUGUAGUAGAUUUAAGCCCCCUAUACACAAUUAACUGAUCCUUGACCAUUCUAGCAUAUUUUUUGAUUCCCUGCUAUAUGCUGGUAUAUUUUGUGAGUUAUUCUGUAUAUUAUAUAUUUGUAUAUUAUGAAGACACCCUUUUCUACUAUGUCAUCAUGUCUUACAAUAUUCUCAAGUGUGUACAGGAGUUUCUUGUCCAAGUUUUUAUCAUUUUUUAUACCGAUUCAUACUACCCAGUAACAUUUUGUAAGAUAGCAGGAAAAUGUCUUCUGAUUUUAUUUUUCUUAGGAUGCUCAAGACUUCCAAUGUUGUUGAUUCAAGCACCAAAGUUCCUUCCUCAUAAAGACUUCCAAGGCCUUUUUGGGAAUCAUUGUGGUAUUCUAAGUUUUUAUUUAUUGUACUAACAAAAGAUAGCAUUCCACUUUCUGCAUAUUUAAGAAAAUAGCCACCAGUUGUUCCAUAGUGAAUAAAACCUGCUCUGCUGAGGAAAUCUUGGUCACAUCUAUGCCAUCAACAUUUUGUGGCUUUUGCAGAAAAAUGUAGAUGCAAAACAACUUACCCUUCCCACUUGCCUUAUUCACAUGGAGAUAGUUUAUGGAUAUUUUCCGUCAUCUUGUCUUCCAUUGGCAAUUACAAUUGUAUUUCUUUACAGAGACCAUGAAAUAUUUUAUCUUCCGUUUGUCAGAUUUUCAGUUUUACAUUUGAAGCGUAGUAUGCACAGUACACAGGAAACUCUACUCUCGUAUGAGAAUGAUUAUUGGUUGUAGUGCUGUAUGAGAAAGGUAGUCAUCCCUCCAUUAACUUAAAAAGGAUAGAGAACCUUUGAGGUAGCUGUGACGUAGUUCAUCACAUUUUAUAUUGUACCGUUUUGUGUAAUAUGCUUCAGUGCUCUCUUUGCCUUAUAGGUGAGUUUCACAAAUACCUAGCUUUCAUGGGAUAAGCUUUAUGGUUGCUGGAAUUAGAUGUUUAAUUUGUCAAGAAUUCAGAUAUAGUAAUUGCUCUGUGGUCUGAAAGGGUGUAGAGCAGUCUUUCAGAAAAGUAGAUGUGAGAUUACUAGUCGAAAUCCUAAAGAAAGACCUGGAGGUGGAAAUUCAGGGAGCUUAGAGAACUCUAAAGACGUCUAAUCCCACAAAGGGGAUCAUAAUGAUUAAGAUGCUGGGUAUGAUGAUUGCUCUGAAAGGAAAUCAGUGUUACAGAACAAGCAUCGAUGUCUGCAGUCACAUUCAUGUUGUAGAGUAUAUUUUACAUUAGUGAUGAAAGAAUAGUUUUGUGCUACAAGAUAUAGUGGUGGAUGAUGAAGGUAGUCAAAGACAGUCUAGAAACAGAUAAGUAAGCAGCAGUCUUUGACUUUUGUGAUUUUUGUAAAUGAUACAAUAUCACAAAGGAUAAACAUUCUUUAGUGGACGAAGCAAAUGGAAGUCUCAGAAAAUGCACUGAUUUUAAGUUCUUUAUUUUUCAGCCAGAAUUCAUUCAUAAAACCAGCUGCAAAGUAAGUGAUUGGAAAUUAAUACUAAUAGUUGUAGGAGAUAUUUCAUUAUUUGAACGUUUUUCACGCUCUCAUAUGAACACUCAAGAGCAUAAUAUGUUAUGUGUGGAUAAUCUUUUCUCUAAAACGAAGCUGGUAUUUAUUUUCAAGUUUUUCUGUCAAGAGAUUCAGCUUCUCUCUUUUUUAUAAGAAAGGAGGAUAAAUAUUAGAUGAAUAUACUAUAUAGAGUUUCGCUGGUUUGAGAAGACUAAUUUUGUUUGAAGACAUUCUGUACAGUAUUAGCAAUUUAAACUUAGCAAAAGAGGAAUGUUAUUUGACUAGCUCAUUAACCAAUUUCAGAGAUGUCGUCCAGUGAGGGGAAGACCUAAGAGAUUCUGUUAGACUGUUAGAAACUCUUUAAGAGAUCAAUAAUCGUAAAGAAUUAUGUAAUACUCUACCUCCUUUCUUCGGGGUUGCUUUGAACUUGAACCAGUCGCCUCCCUCUUCUAGAUAUGGAUAGUUUUUCCUAUAGUUUCUCCAGUAUCUAAUGAGUAUUGAUAGUGCUUUAGUAGAUAAAGUAUGAAUCCAACCUCGAAUGUAUGUGAGUAGCUCUUUCUUUGUUAUUGUGAUUAGCACCAAAUGCCAUUCUAGAUCUGUGUGCCUAGUUUCCUUUUGAUAUUCAAAAGGCUACUUCAUUACACCGCCAACAUUUUUGUGGAUAGGCCUUAAAGGUCUUUGUAGUUUUCCUACGUCUCCUAAUUACAUUGUUUUCAUGACUAAUUAUUCGCUUUUUGCCUGUGGUCUGGGUCCCUUCCCACCUACCUGUUCAACAUCUUAAUGCCCCAGAGAAAGUCUAGAUAUGUGACACAGUAGUCUUGAUCAGCUGAGGUACACAAUAAUAAUGGUUAGGCAUCAGAAGGACAUUUGGCCUGUAGGGCUCAUUUUAUUGACGUUCAAGUUAAACCCAAGUCCUGUCAUGGAGUUUAGUUGCAGUAUUUUCAUUGUAGCUUCAAGUCCUUAAUCCCAUUUUAUUAUCUUGUUAAUGAUGGGCUUAUAGCCAUUCUUAUCCUUCAGACUGUCAUUUAAUCUUUAUUUUCUUAUCCCACUAUCCUUCUUAUCCAUUGGCAGUCAAUAAAUUCAAAUUCUAACACUCAGUUGUUUCAUUUAAAAAAAAAAAAAAGAUUUCAGCAUCUCACUUUUGACUACCUUCUGUUUCCUCGCUUUUAAGUGCCAAUGCCCCUUACACUAUUCAGAAGAUGGCAGCGUUUAUUUAAGAUAGUUUUCCAGCUUCCUUUGGUGGUCAUGUUAGCUAGGAUUAUUCUGAGUAUUUCUGGUGAAUUACAGGGCAACUUUUGGUUCUGGGAAGGAUAUCAUUUUGGUUUUAUUUGUUUGUGUUCUUGCUCGUCACUUUUACAUAAAAAGUUGUGUGGAUGGUAAUGAAAUUUUACCAGCCAGUUUAACAGUAGUUUGACAACAAGUGGUUAGAUUUUGGGGCGGAUAAGAACUUCUUGAGGGUUUCUGAGCAGUGAUACUUUGAAAAGGAUUAGAGACCCUGUUGUUUAGUGUAUAGUAGCAAUAUAUAUUUUUGUUUAUUUCAUAUCAGUAUUGUACUCCUUCUCCCUUGACUAAUGGAUGGCUAUCAAAGAGGAACCACAUCUUUCAUAAUCUACAUACCAUUUAAAGUGGAAUGCUAUGACAUGCUGAUCUGAAAUUUCAGUAUUUCAGAAGAAUUGAUUUUUUUACCAUUAAUAUUCUUAUAGAUUUUGUAAUGAUGGCAGGAAGUGCUAUCUUCAAGAUAAUUGUAAUUUUGUGCUCUUAGAAUACACUCAUUCUUUCCCAUAGCAUCAUUUUAAUAGUCUUUUUUUUGGGUCAUAUUAAGAAUCAUUACAUGAUUUCAAUUUCAAGUGAGCUGAAGGGAUUCUUCCUAUUUUGGUAAUGAUAGAUAUACAGUAUAAUUUUGUAAUUUUGCUAAUUAUGAAUUUGGUUGCUAGCUUGAGUAAAAAAGCAAUGGUACUAUCAUCCCCCAUCAUACCUCCAUCAAAAUCACAGGUAGAGAAUUGGCCGAGCAUUAUGUGAUACUGACUUCAAGUUUUCACUUUUUUACUGUGAGUUAGACUAUAGAAUCAUAAUUUAGAAACAAAAAACUACACAGUUUCGAGGUGCUGCUUAUUCGCAUUUUGGCAUGAAGGGAACUAGGUGCUGCUUCUUAGCCUGUCCACAUAAUAUGCUUCUACUAUGUGCUUGAUCACAUCCCUUGCUCAAGAUGUGCUUGCUAUUCGAAGGAAGUCGAUACAAUACGCCAGUGAACUAGAACCUUCCGAAUUAGCUGUAUAGCCACCUCCAUUAUAUCUUAUGUGACCUUAACUCCAGUAUAUCUUCGGCAACAUAAGUAAACAAUAACUAUAUAGUGUUCAGUUUUAGUAACUCUGAGGCAAAAGAAAACUAUGGCAACCAAAAUCAGUCAUGGUUAAUUCAGUUUUGAUGGCAGACCUUAAUUCUGAUUCAAUCUUGGUGAUGUGAAACUGAGCCAACCAAAACGGUGGAUAGUCAUUUAUCUUGACCUUGGGCUGAUAUCAAGUUGGCUAGAUCUUACAUUUAUUAAUAGAGUCAUCUUUAGGGAAUGAGAGAAACCAAAUCAAUAGUCCUGUGUAUUUAUUUUUUAGCCCAUGAGGCCAACAAUUGUCACAUUCUUAACUUUCCUAUAAGAUAAGGUUUUAUUUAGAAAGUCCAUUUUCUGUUUUAAGGAUGCAGUGACUAAUUUAAAUUUAAUCACCAGUGGUAUGUAAGAUUUUUAAUAUCAUAAGAAACUAUAGACUUUUGUUAUGAUAGCAAGAGUGGUAUUCAUAUUCUUGCAAUAUACUUGUCUCUGCAUAAAGGUUUUAUGUAUAUGAGACACAUACUGUAGACUUGUGUACUACAUUGUAUACUGCAUAUGGAUGUGCAUGCAUACAUAUGUACGUACAUGUCUAUCUGCUGCUAGAUAUGUGCUGUAUAGUAUUGGUCCAUGGAGAUAGGCUCACUUAUGUGAAAAGGAUAAUACUGUUAUUAUAAUCAUUAUUAUAUUUCUUCUAGUGGCUCGUAGGUUUCAUUGUGACUCAUAAACUCUGGAAUCCAAAUUAAAGUUCUGUUGUAAAUUUCAGUAAACAUACCUGGAAAUACCUAGGGAUAUUUUGUGAUAUUGUAGUAGUUGUUACGAUGAGCAUUUUAAUGAAAAGUACUCUCAUUCAUUCCCAUUUCCUUAUAUUGAGUAUUCCUUAUUAAUCGUUUUACAUCAUCUUUUAUACCUAACAGCUUAUGGAGCGUCAAUACUGCACAUCACACUUUUAGUUCAUGUAAAAUUUCAUACAUUGUCUGCAUACAAGUAACCAAUUUGAAUAUACUGUACUGCAAAACCAACUAGUGUUUGAAGCAGAGGGAUGACUUGACCCAGGUACAUCUCAUGUCACUGGUGAUAAAUGUUUUGUAUUUCCUAUACAGACUCCAACCUACUUACGAACAAGAUAUGUUCGUAUGUCGAAUUUGUCGUAAGUUGGUUACUGUUCUCUUCUUCACGCCUGUUUAAGUGCAGUCUGAUAUUAAAUCAAUACUGUACCGUACGUUUGUUUACCCUAAACACAGAGCACUGUACAUACCGUACUGUAUUUUAUAAAUUACUAUAUUAAAUAUGAGUGAUACAUUAAAUUUGAACUUGUGGAUGGCAAAGGGGUGUGCUCUAAAAACAAUUUUUAUUUGCAAUCCCAUUUGUUCAUAUCUGAAUGCUCUUGAGUUGAAAGUUCGUAAGUAGGGUGGUGUCUAGUUGUAUCAUUCCAUUUCUCUGUGCGUGCUUGAUACGAUAUCUUAAAGGGCCAUAUAGUCUUAAAUUUCCAUCCUUUCUAGAAAGUAAACAAAUAAAUCAGUUUGGUCUACAGGUGUUUGAAAAUAUCCGAAAAUAUUACUUUGACCUCAUUUUUUCAAAUUUCAUUUUUGGCAUCGCAUCCUGCUUGUUGAGUGCUACCUUAAAAUUAUUUUUGAAAUUUUAAUUCUUGAAACAACAGAAUUAUUGAAACCCGCCAGUUUCAAAGAUUUCCUUAAAUACACCUAGUGCUAUGAACUGGUAUUCAGUAGGCCUAAGAAAUCUUAACGGAUGGUUCUCUUAAUUUCAUGGUAAAUCAAGUUGUUAAAAUGAAUUAGUACAGUUCUUUAGGAAUCAUGUUUUUCUAGCCCUUCAUCUGUUUAGGUUAAGUGCAAAUGUUAAAUCUUGUUAAUACCAAGAUUCUAAGUUGUGUUUUUGCUGAAGUGAAAACUUUUCCUAAGUUCCUGGUGCAUUUUGAUAUUUUUGUUUUUAUGUUGUAUGAAGAUAUCUUUAGAAAUACAUAUAUAACUCAGUGAAAUGUGUACUGCCGUGUGGAUUCAUUUUUCAUCUCACAGAAUUUACAACACUUAUUAUGCUGAUGUGCAGAUACAAACCCUUGAUUUACUAAGCCCUUAAUUUUCAUAAGUUCUUGGUGACAAAUCAUUCAGGAUUAUGAAGGUGGUCCCUUUGGCUCUCUUACCAGUUGUUAGAGUGCAGCUGACGUGAGGAGCUCUCUCCCCCACAACACAUAACCUUUGACACAGGCUAUCUUAGCAGAGUUUCUCUUUUUGUCUUUUUUAAAAUAUUAUGUCAGUCUUUUCAUCUUUAUUUAUCUAGCUCUUUCUUUAGUGUCAGUGUUGCUUUUUGUCAUCCAUACAUGUAAGUUGUACAUUCUUUCUUCUUACGCCCCUAACAAACAAAUUUUUGGGUGUAUAUAAGAAUUGCCUUGUCUGUCUGUCCAUCUGUGUGUUUGUCUGUCUGUCUGUCUGUCUUUCCGUCCGCCCGUCAGUCACACAUUUUGUUCGGGCCAUAACUUUUUAAGGGAAAAUAAACAUUAAAGGCUCAUGUGACACAACGAUUGCAUAGGACUACAGGAGGUGUCGUGGUCCAGUUAUUGUUAUUAUUAUUAAUGAUGAAUAGCUUAGCCUUACCGCUUUGCUGACAUUCUAAACUCUUCAUGAUCCAAACCUAUGUCAAGGUCAUAGGCAAUGGUAGAAAGUUCUCGCCCAGGCCAUGCUAUAAUCUAAUACAGUAUUGCAGAUAUUUCAUAGUCAUGUUUUAUACUACUAUUAAGGUGGCUUCGGAUAGGUGGGUUUAUCAUGACCCUUGUCCCAGGUUAUUUAGACAAUGUCAAGGUCACUGGAUGUGUUGAAGAAAUUCUUGUCCAGGCCCUAGCUUUGAAUUGCAGGGAUUAUGGAAACUGAUAUUUUACACAAUGUCAUUUUAGGAACAAAGGAUGUGUCACAACCCCAGAUCAAGGUAAACUAGACUAGGAUUAGGGUCACUUAAAGAGGUGGAAGGAAUUCUGGAUUGCAGCUUUGAAUUCCCAGGAUUAUAGAAACUCACUUGACACAAAUGAUACUAUAAGCUCAAUGUGACUGAUGUAUAUCCAUGCAUAUUCUACUACCUUAGGACCAAAAGAAACACAGCGCACUUCAACAGGUAAUACCUCAAAUUUGUGUUCGUUAAAUUUAUGUUUUACACAAUUACUACUGAUACGUUAAAUUGUCCUUAAUAAAGAAAUGUAUGGAAUAUUGUCAACGAUUGCACUAUAUUCGUAAUUUAUUCUAUGUGCAUCUUUCAAAAGUGCCGCGUUUCAUAUGUAUCACCCUGAGAGUAAGAGAUCCAUUAGGACAAUUCUCACGCAGAAUGCACUGUGUACAUUAGCAGUUUUAUUUCUGUGGCCUUUAAUUAGCAAUGGUACUAUUAUAUGUAGUAUCUUAGUCCUACAACUGUAGUCGACUUACCUACGUGUAAAGAGGAGGAAAAAGAACUUACAUAUUUAUAAAAAAAAUUUCAGAAUUUUGAUUAGAUAAACUUUCAUCGAAAACUUUCACUUUUCAUGUCAAAGGUGUUUUUUUGUGACUCAGCUAUUCUUUCUUUUGAUGCACUUUUUAAAGUAAUUAAAUUUCAUAGAGGAAGCUGCUGAAGGCGGUCCUUAAGGGAAGAAGUGGGUUUGAUCCUUAUCGUAAUUUCAGGUUUUGGUUAAAGCAGGUAGUAUUGACGUUUUCCAGACCUUUUGAAGUCUGUGCGAGAAAAAGUGGUUAGAAGUAAAGACAAACGCUUGGUGAUCGAUGUGAUAGAGAGAGAAUAAUAACCAACGAGAAAGUACCAACAUUGAUGUCAACUCCACUCAUCAUCCUAUCUUUUAAGUUACCAGAAAGGACGAUGGAAUAGAUAAAUGGUCAGUGAUAUGGUCUUUUAUGGUGGUCACAAAAUAGGUUAUAGGUUGAAAGCCCUUGAUCCAAUGAAUAAGGAUGGGUGUUGACUGCUGACUGGUACUAAGGUAACAGUUGAGGACGCUGUCUCUGGGUUCAUAGUUGAAUGAAAUGGCAGUCCCAUGAUGCAAUUGGUGCUAAGACUUAACAGUCUAGCCGUUAUAAGUAUCAGCAAUUGACGACGAGUUGGCCUAAGUUAAACCUGUAAGAACCGGACACCUUAAUGAGAGAAAAAUCAUCUUCAGUGAUAUCAGUGAUAUUCCGCAGCUCUGAUGUGGCUGGAAACUGUGGUCAACAUGGACACACUAUUUUCUAAUACAACAGUCCUUGAACUGUCUACCUUCUCCCUAAAAUUUGGUACUGGCCCCUCAGAAAGAAACUUACCUUUUAGCUCCAAGAAAGACCUUCAUUUUUUGUGGAGAAAUAUCUUGUACUAAUUCUGUGCCUUCUAGAUAGAUCUUUCCACCACUAAAAUGAUGACACUAGAAGCUGAAUAAUACACUAUACGUAUUGUGUUCCGGGAGGAACAUAUUCCUCUGGUGGGUUGCUUUUUGCAAUAGGUAGGUAUUGCCUUUGUCAUUCUGAUUGAUUUGUCACCACUGCUUGAUACUUGAUGGCAGUUAAGGCUUCUGUAAAACAAGUGUUUGUAUGUUGAAAAUGCAGGAUUUACAGUUCGUGAAUGUUAAUGACAGUCAUGUUUUAAAAAUAUUUUUAAAGAAGACUAUAAGUAAUUUUUUAGUUUAUGAACAUGAAGAAUAGGGUGUCUGAGGUACUAAAAAUCCUUGGAAACAACCUUUCACACCAUUAGUAAUGUUGAGUGAUAUGAAAUUUAAACUGGCAUCAUCAGGAUCAGAAUAACAAUUUUUGAAAAACAUUGCAAAACCCCUUCAGAAUUCCAGUUAUAAGAAUGUGUUUUUGUUAAACUGUGCAGUGAUACUAUUAAGUCGUGAUGAAAUAAAUUGAGUGUCAUCUCCUCUUGGUUCCAGACUAUAUGGCCAACUUCCCAAUCGCUGUUUGUUACUUCUCUUACCUUUAUUGGAACUGAUUGGAAUUGUCCUUCAGGUACAAGGAAAUGUUUCCAUGAAACUGUGUUGUUACUGUUGUGUUUUUGUGUAGCCUGGUUGUUGCUGUGUUAAUUGUGGCUUUAUCAUAUGAAUCUACCAUAUUGUCACGGGGCGGGAGUGUGUUGUCUUCUCAAACAAUUCGAGGAAGAAGUUCUAGACACACCACCUUUUUGUACAUCAGUUGAUAAAAGCAUAAAGUCUUCAGUUGCAUGGUUACACAUAGUAGAACUGAUGUGGUUUCUUUGAGCCUACGUGAGGCAUCUUAAAAAAAUGUCUACUUGUUUCUCAGUUUGUUUGGGAAAACACACCUCCAGCUCCAUCAGCACAACCCUGGUUAAAAUAAGUUUAUCGGUAAUAACUGCAUUCGGAGGAAAAUAAAGAUUGUUUGCAUCUUGUCAAAAAAGUAAUAUAUUCCAGUAUUGUAAACCUCAUUUUUUGUGAUCUUUUGGCAAACAUGAAAAAAGCAAAAGCUUGUUCUGACAGAUACAAGUGAAUCAAGCAAGUUAGAUGGAGUGUUUCCAAAUUACUGACGCAAUGUUACCAAACACAGAAAACACGGAGCCUCACCUUCGCCUGUGUCCAUACUUUUUCUUGAAAUACUGGUAAAGCAUUACCUCAUGACCCAUUCUCAUGUACUGCGUGAGCAUAAUCUGUUAGAUAUUAUUACAAAAACUGCAAAAACUAGCAUUAAACUUUCAUAUUUUGAUAAUGGUUAAAACUAGAUAAAGGUUUUUGCUAUCUUUGUAAUUACUUAGUAGAAUAUAUUGCAGCAAAGGAAGCUGGUGAGGUUAUGGACUAAAUACAAAAUCUCCAGAUAUACAGAGUAGCUAGGAAAAGUCGUAGGGUGCAAAUAACAUCCAUAAGUCAUUUGAUUUUGUAGUAGUGAAACAUGAACUCACUCAUUUCUGUAUCAUACUCUCCAGUAACAUAUGUGUAUAUAUAUAUUGUGUAAGACAUUGCCUUUCUGUGC